rnacentral:lncRNA from 10 species
UGGAGUGGGCCAGCUUUAAUGAACCUGUCUAAAAGGAAGGAAGAGAAAGAGCUCAGCUCCUUAGGGGAACAAGGUGGACCUUGGCAGCUGUCUCACUCCUCACCAGCUCUUCACCUCAGAUCUUGUCCUGACUUCCUGGUCCACUAACGGCCUCCUGGAUAGAAGAGUCAGUUCACCAGCCCAGGAGAUGUUCUGAAAAUUGACAAUGAUCAUGAUAUACCCUGGAUCCAGAAUACUUCUCUAUACAAUGGGCAGAGAACAAAGAUUGGUGGCUUCCUCCUGAGCACACUGGGAUGUGGCAUUACAUCGGGGCUGCUGAGUGCCCUUACCUUCAGCUGCCCAGAUGCAGAGGCAGUUCCACAAGGUACUGGCACAAGAAGAGUCGUGGAAGACUGACCUGGCCAUGGCUUCUCAUGUCCCAGCUCAGGACCUGCCACAUCAAUUCUCCCUUUCCUCUGGCCGUCACGUGUGGAGUGAAAUUCUCAGAAGCGGCUGUCCCUGUGCACCUCUCUGGCUGUGUCCAGAAAAUGAACAUCUGUUUACAGCUUCAAUUUUCUAAUGAUUAGAAUGCCACAAACAAGAAAACCCAGAGGAAAGCUGUUGAUGCUGAAAUGUUUCCUUCCUCUACAUAUUCCAUGAUGCGUCCUGUGGGGUUAUGCAAACAGUAAUAUCUCAUUAAAUAUUCUGGUCUCUUGG